rnacentral:rRNA from 1 species
AGAUCGAAUUGUAAACUUUUAGAGUCGUUGUCCAGACCAGCCGAGUAAAUAAGUUCCUUGGAAUAGGACAUCAUGGAGGGUGAGAAUCCCGUCUUUGGCUUGAGCAUUGGUCUUUUGUGAUGCGACUUCAACGAGUCAGGUUGUUUGGGAAUGCAGCCUUAAUUGGGUGGUAAAUCUCACCUAAAGCUAAAUAUUGGCGAGAGACCGAUAGCGAACAAGUACCGUGAGGGAAAGAUGAAAAGAACUUUGAAAAGAGAGUUAAACAGUAUGUGAAAUUGCUAAAAGGGAACCGUUUGAAGUCAGUCUGGCUGGUCUGCAAUCAGCUUCAACUUUGGUUGGAGUGCACUUGUAGGCCAUUUUGCCUGCCAACAACAGUUUGUUCUGCAGCAAAAAGGUGUUGAGAAUGUAGCUUUCUCUUUGGAGGAAGUGUUAUAGCUCUUCGCGAAAUACUGUGGUUCAGACUGAGGCUUGCAGUGAAUGCUAUUUUGGCUUUGGGGAUGGAUUGCUCAGUGCUUUGCUUGG